GCUGGGAGGAAGAUGAAUGGAGUCGAGAUAAAAAAUGGAGAGAUGGACACCGAGAAACAGUGUAGUGUUUUCGAUCUCCUUCGUAAAUGAUUUUUUACACCGGUUACAAUGUUUAACAGGUAUAAGAGAAGUUUUUCAAUUUUAUAUUUUUUUAUUAUAUUAUUUUUAUACCGAUUAUAGGUUUAACCGGUAUAAAAUUAUAUUUUAUACCUGUUUAAAGGGUGGUGUAAAAAAGUUU
rnacentral:lncRNA from 1 species